rnacentral:rRNA from 1 species
CCAAUAGCGUAUAUUAAAGUUGUUGCAGUUAAAAAGCUCGUAGUUGAAUUUCGGGGUUAGUAGGUUGGUCAUGCCUCUGGUAUGUACUGGUCUCACUGAUUCCUCCUUCCUGAUGAGCCGUAAUGCCAUUAAUUUGGUGUUGCGGGGAAUUUGGACUGUUACUUUGAAAAAAUUGGGGUGUUUAAAGCAAGCUAACGCUUGAAUACAUUAGCAUGGAAUAAUGAAAUAGGACGUUCGAUCCUAUUUUGUUGGUUUCUAGGAUUGACGUAAUGAUUAAUAGGGAUAGUUUGGGGCAUUAGUAUUCAAUUGUCAGAGGUGAAAUUCUUGGAUUUAUUGAAGACUAACUACUGCGAAAGCAUUUGCCAAGGAUGUUUUCAUUAAUCAAGAACGAAAGUUAGGGGAUCGAAGACGAUCAGAUACCGUCGUAGUCUUGACCAUAAACUAUGCCGACUAGGGAUCGGAUGAUGUUAAUUUUUUAAUGACUCAUUCGGCGCCUUACG